rnacentral:rRNA from 1 species
CCUACGGGAGGCAGCAGUGAGGAAUAUUGGUCAAUGGGCGGGAGCCUGAACCAGCCAAGUCGCGUGAGGGAUGACGGCCCUAUGGGUUGUAAACUUCUUUUGCCGGGGAGCAAAGUGCCGCACGUGUGCGGUUUGGAGAGUACCCGGAAAAAAAGCAUAGGGUAAACCCCUGCCCGCAGCCGCGGUAAUACGGAGGAUGCGAGCUGUAUCCGGAUUUAUUGGGUUUAAAGGGUGCGUAGGCGGACUCUUAAGUCAGCGGUAAAAUUUCGGGGCUCAACCCCGUCGGGCCGUUGAAACUGGGUGCCUUGAGUGGGCGAGAAGUACGCGGAAUGCGUGGUGUAGCGGUGAAAUGCAUAGAUAUCACGCAGAACUCCGAUUGCGAAGGCAGCGUACCGGCGCCCAACUGACGCUGAAGCACGAAGGCGUGGGUAUCGAACAGGAUUAGAUACCCUUGUAGUC